GCCGUGUGCGGUGUCGCGCGCCUGUAAUCCCAGUCCCGGGAGGCUGAGGCUGAGGGACUGUUUGAGCUGAGGAGCUCUGAGCUGCAGUGACUGUGUCGAUCUGGUGUCCGCACUAAGUUCGGUAUCGAUAUGGUGCUCCUGGGGGAGCCCGGACAGGUCGCCUAAGGAGGGGUGCACCGGCUGCAGGCCGGACACGGAGCAGGCCAAAGCCGCUCAGUAGUGGGAUCGCGCCUGAGAGCAGACCCUGCAGUGCAGCCUGAGCGACACAACAGGACCCAGACUUUU
rnacentral:SRP_RNA from 1 species